AUUGAACGCUGGCGGCAGGCCUAACACAUGCAAGUCGAGCGGGGUUUUCGGACCUAGCGGCGGACGGGUGAGUAAUGCGUAGGAAGCUACCCGAUAGAGGGGGAUACCAGUUGGAGACGACUGUUAAUACCGCAUAAUGUCUACGGACCAAAGUGUGGGACCUUCGGGCCACAUGCUAUCGGAUGCGCCUACGUGGGAUUAGCUAGUUGGUGAGGUAAUGGCUCACCAAGGCGACGAUCCCUAGCUGGUUUGAGAGGAUGAUCAGCCACACUGGAACUGAGACACGGUCCAGACUCCUACGGGAGGCAGCAGUGGGGAAUAUUGGACAAUGGGCGCAAGCCUGAUCCAGCCAUGCCGCGUGUGUGAAGAAGGCCUUCGGGUUGUAAAGCACUUUCAGUAGGGAGGAAGCGUUGAGUGUUAAUAGUACUCAGCGUUGACGUUACCUACAGAAGAAGCACCGGCUAACUCUGUGCCAGCCGCCGCGGUAAAAC
rnacentral:rRNA from 1 species